rnacentral:misc_RNA from 1 species
CAGAUACGAACUGUACUUUUGAGGUACUAUGAGAUAUGAUUUUUUUUUGGUUUGCCGCUUCCUAUUUGAAUAUUUUCAAUCAUGAAGCUUGUGAUGGCAAGCAUUUGUGAGUUGACUGAAGGAACUGGCCUUCAAGGGGUAUUUUCACAGGUUGUAUAAAUAAUAUGAAACAACAUUAAAACAUGAAAAAUAUCUCUGCUGCUGCCUCUUUUGUUUUCUGUUUCUUAUUCU